UGGGGAAUUUUGGACAAUGGGGGAAACCCUGAUCCAGCCAUCCCGCGUGUGCGAUGAAGGCCUUCGGGUUGUAAAGCACUUUUGGCAGGAAAGAAACGUCGCGGGUUAAUACCCCGCGAAACUGACGGUACCUGCAGAAUAAGCACCGGCUAACUACGUGCCAGCAGCCGCGGUAAUACGUAGGGUGCAAGCGUUAAUCGGAAUUACUGGGCGUAAAGCGUGCGCAGGCGGUUCGGAAAGAAAGAUGUGAAAUCCCAGAGCUUAACUUUGGAACUGCAUUUUUAACUACCGGGCUAGAGUGUGUCAGAGGGAGGUGGAACUCCGCGUGUAGCAGUGAAAUGCGUAGAUAUGCGGAGGAACACCGAUGGCGAAGGCAGCCUCCUGGGAUAACACUGACGCUCAUGCACGAAAGCGUGGGGAGCAAACAGGAUUAGAUACCCUGGUAGUCCACGCCCUAAACGAUGUCAACUAGCUGUUGGGGCCUUCGGGCCUUGGUAGCGCAGCUAACGCGUGAAGUUGACCGCCUGGGGGAGUACGGUCGCAAGAUUAAAAAGCUUAAAUGAAUUGAC
rnacentral:rRNA from 1 species